UACAGAGGUCUCAAGCGUUGUUCGGAUUCAUUGGGCGUAAAGGGUGCGUAGGCGGCGCGGUAAGUCGGGUGUGAAAUCUCGGGGCUUAACUCCGAAACUGCAUUCGAUACUGUCAGGCUAGAGGUAGGUAGGGGGAGAUCGGAAUUCCUGGUGUAGCGGUGAAAUGCGCAGAUAUCAGGAGGAACACCGGUGGCGAAGGCGGAUCUCUGGGCCUUACCUGACGCUCGAGGCGCGGAAAGCUGGGGGAGCGAACGG
rnacentral:rRNA from 1 species